rnacentral:rRNA from 1 species
AGCAGCCGCGGUAAUUCCAGCUCCAAUAGCGUAUAUUAAAGUUGUUGCAGUUAAAAAGCUCGUAGUUGAAUUUCGGGGUCAGUAGGUUGGUCGUGCCACUGGUAUGCACUGGUCUCACUGAUUCCUCCUUCCUGAUGAGCCGUAAUGCCAUUAAUUUGGUGUUGCGGGGAAUCUGGACUGUUACUUUGAAAAAUUAGAGUGUUUAAAGCAGGCUAACGCUUGAAUACAUUAGCAUGGAAUAAUGAAAUAGGACGAUCGAUCCUAUUUUGUUGGUUUCUAGGAUUGACGUAAUGAUUAAUAGGGAUAGUUGGGGGCAUUAGUAUUCAAUUGUCAGAGGUGAGAUUCUUGGAUUUAUUGAAGACUAACUACUGCGAAAGCAUUUGCCAAGGAUGUUUUCAUUAAUCAAGAACGAAAGUUAGGGGAUCGAAGACGAUCAGAUACCGUCGUAGUCUUAACCAUAAACUAUGCCGACUGGGGAUCGGAUGAUGU